UACGGGGGGAGCAAGCGUUGUCCGGAUUUACUGGGCGUAAAGAGCGCGCAGGCGGUCGAUCAAGUCGCGUGUGAAAGCCCCCGGCUCAACUGGGGAGGGUCACGCGAUACUGAUCGACUCGAAGGCAGGAGAGGGUAGUGGAAUUCCCGGUGUAGUGGUGAAAUGCGUAGAUAUCGGAAGGAACACCAGUGGCGAAGGCGACUACCUGGCCUGUUUCUUGACGCUGAGGCGCGAAAGCUAGGGGAGCAAACGGG
rnacentral:rRNA from 1 species